GGAUCCCAUCAGAACUCUGAAGUUAAGCGUGCUUGGGCGAGAGUAGUAGUAGGAUGGGUGACCUCCUGGGAAGUCCUCGUGUUGCAUUCC
rnacentral:rRNA from 1 species